rnacentral:rRNA from 1 species
UACGAAGGGGGGCUAGCGUUGCUCGGAAUCACUGGGCGUAAAGGGUGCGUAGGCGGGUCUUUAAGUCAGGGGUGAAAUCCUGGAGCUCAACUCCAGAACUGCCUUUGAUACUGGCGACCUUGAGUUCGGGAGAGGUGAGUGGAACUGCGAGUGUAGAGGUGAAAUUCGUAGAUAUUCGCAAGAACACCAGUGGCGAAGGCGGCUCACUGGCCCGAUACUGACGCUGAGGUGCGAAAGCGUGGGGAGCAAACAGG